CCCGGCGAAGCACCCGGGCCCGAAGUCCCGCGUCGCCACGGUGCAGUCUCCAGUGCCGGCGCGCUCCAGGUCCAGCUUCGCCACCCCGCUGAUCUUGGGCAUGGGGUCGCCGAUCCCGAAGUAGCCGUACCGGUUGCGCCGGCCGAGGUAGCCCGGGUGGAUGACGCCGAAGUCGAGGUUCCCCGCCGAGAGCGGGGUGCGCGACACGGCGCCCGUGCGCAGGUCGAUGCGCACCUUCUCGACGCAGCCGUGCACGAGCUCCAUGCGCUCCAGCGCGUGCUCCACGGACAGGACGUUGGGCGCCACCAGCACCAGCUCGUCGCCGC
rnacentral:lncRNA from 1 species